ACGUAGGGGGCGAGCGUUGUCCGGAUUUAUUGGGCGUAAAGAGCUCGUAGGCGGCUUUGUCAGUCGGGUGUGAAACCUCCAGGCUCAACCUGGAGCCGCCACCCGAUACUGCAAUAGCUAGAGUCCGGUAGGGGAGCAUGGAACUCCUGGUGUAGCGGUGAAAUGCGCAGAUAUCAGGAAGGACACCAGUGGCGAAGGCGGGUCUCUGGGCCGAUACUGACGCUGAGGAGCGAAAGCGUGGGGAGCGAACAGGA
rnacentral:rRNA from 1 species